AUCUCCAACUAAUUUGUUGGAAUGUCAACAUGGUUGCUGGCAUCAUAGCUAGCUUCAAUGUCCCCAUAGGGCAAGUCAUUCUAGUAUCAAUAUGGAAGACCUGACCAGUUUCGACCUUCAAUUCCUCUGUGAAAGACUUGAAGUUCUCCCUGAGUUCAUCAAUGUUACGGUAGGGGCCUUCUACUAUCGGGUUAGGUUAGUGGUUAAUUUCUCCAUCCCAUACAAUCCAUUCUCAGACUAGUCCUCUUCCCUUAGCAACGAUCCAAGUAACCUUGGUGACUCUGAGUUGAAGUUCUGAUUUGAAUCGACAUACCGUAGCCAGCCU
rnacentral:lncRNA from 1 species